UCCCCAGCUGUCCAGUGGUUAAGACUCUGCACUUCCACUGCAGGGGGUGCAGGUUCCAUUCCUGGUUGGGGAA
rnacentral:tRNA from 1 species